UUCUAUUCAAUCAGUCACAAAAACAAAACAAGCAGUCCCUAAGAUCAAUGCUUUCUCAAACUGGAACUUAUUUCACAUAGAAUUAUCUACCAAUCAUCCAUGAAAAUAUUCUGUAAAAUCAAUAAUCCUACAUAACUACCUUUAAGCUUAAAGAAUAGAUUGUGUUACCAUAAGAAAGAUACACAUUACUGAUUCAGGUUAGGUCAGAGAAGACUAUAGAGGGGGAAACUCUCAGUGAACAUUUCACUGUAGGAUUUGACACAGCACUUGUAGUACAAUUCUCAUUACUAGUGAUGUCUUUGGUAUGCUCUUCCAAGACAUCUGGAUGCACCAGGCAGAGAUGAGCCAGGUCUCUCUGUGCACAAGCCAUAUGCUUCAAAGUCACAGCCAAAAAGGGAAUGUCCUUCAGGGCUGUCUCUAGCAUUCCUCUAAGGCAAAGUUUUGCCCUAGUUAGUUAUUGCUGCCAAUUGGGACUGAUGCUUUAAAUCUUUCUGCUUUGUAGAUAGUCAGAGACUUACUUCUCUGCCUCUAAUUCUUGUUUCCAGAGUGCUCACAGUGGUCUAAUGCUCUUGGCUUUUGGAAGUUGAACCUGGACACAGAGAAUGACAACAAAUUGCACCUCCACAUGUGCAGGCAGAAACAGCAAGCAGGAGAAUGAGUUGGCCCAUCUAUGCAGUGGAGAGAUCUACUACAGAACAUGACUGGGAAGGCAAUCCUAAGAAGCACUGGAGAUAAAAUUGAAGAUCAUCUCUUUCCCCUCCCCCUACCAUGGGACACGCUCCAAUAAAUUAUGUUUGGAUCUCAGUGCUGAGUUGGUAUUUCAUUUUGGGUUGUAAGUUUAUGCCAAGCACAUUUGAAUUUUAUCUCAUUAUAUCUUCCAUAAUAAAAACAGAAAUGACUUCACAAGCAGCUUCAAACGUUGAGUUUGUUCACUGCUGUGAAACUCAAAACAUGUAGAUGGGUAUCCUGGUAUGGAGAACUCUACCUCCCACACCUUCAGGACUUGUCAUCCCCCAACACCUCCCAUGCCUCCUGCCAAAGGCCCAGAGUCAGGUA